UCUCUUAAGCAGAGUAAGAAUGCAUUAACACACGCAUUUGUGAAUACACUGUGUUUGAGUGGUCAGUGUGCAUUCAUCAGCUCUAAUAAAAUGCUCAGUGCUUCCUGGAUGUACAGGAUAUGAAUCAGUUAAUGUGAAGAAGAUGACCACAUAGCACCAUCAUUACAGAACUGUAUUAGCAUUCUGCUGCCUGUGGAGCAGCUGUGGCAAUGUGUUACUACUCUGCACAUUUCAACAGACUCAGCCAAAAAGAAGUAGACGAAUACAAUCCUCUGCUCAGGCACAUAGAAGCUGAUCGUGAAAAGAGAUCAAACAGCGAUAUGGAGCGAGGUUAAAUGAUGUGCCCAAGGUCACAGAGGACAAGCCUCUGAAUUGGGAAAGGAACUCACACCCGUGACUGGGAUCCACCCUGGUAGAUUCUCCAUCCUCUCGUGGCUUGCAAAGAAGUUGAAAGGGAGACAGGCCAGGAUUUGCUGUGUUCAGAGUGUUUUGCCACUUUGAGGAACACCGUGUGAAGUACACUUGCACAAAUAAUGGAAGAGCAGCUCAUUUCCUCCUCCUCCUGCGCCACACCAGCACCUGCUUUAAACCCCCUGACGUGGCACCCUGACCUCUCACCAGUCCCAGCCACAGCAUUCAAAAGCUCCUGCUCCGAGCCUCCUCUGCCCUGCCAUGGCGAAUUCAGCCAGAGCAAGAGCCCGGUGUAACGAGGAACAAGGAGGAGAUUCGACAGGACCCAACGCCAGGAAAACAGCUUGAUCCCUGCUUAAAAAAUUCAUUGUGAUUUGUCUUUUUUCCGGUUCUGAGACUGAGUAAUUGAGGCAAGUCCAGAGUCAGUCCCAGGUACUUAGAGGAUGAGACAAAAGACUCUUCAUGAAUGUUUCACGAACAGGCAAUGCUUUCAGAUGACAGAGGUUAGGACUGCCUUG